rnacentral:rRNA from 1 species
AAUAUUGGACAAUGGGCGCAAGCCUGAUCCAGCCAUGCCGCGUGGAUGAUGAAGGCCUUAGGGUUGUAAAGUCCUUUUAACGGGGAAGAUAAUGACGGUACCCGUAGAAUAAGCCCCGGCUAACUUCGUGCCAGCAGCCGCGGUAAUACGAAGGGGGCUAGCGUUGCUCGGAAUCACUGGGCGUAAAGCGCACGUAGGCGGCUUUCUAAGUCAGGGGUGAAAUCCUGGAGCUCAACUCCAGAACUGCCUUUGAUACUGGGAAGCUUGAGUUCGGGAGAGGUGAGUGGAACUGCGAGUGUAGAGGUGAAAUUCGUAGAGAUGUGGAGGAACACCGAUGGCGAAGGCAGCCCCCUGGGCCGAUACUGACGCUCAUGCACGAAAGCGUGGGUAGCAAACAGG